UAGGGAAUCUUCCGCAAUGGACGCAAGUCUGACGGAGCAACGCCGCGUGAGUGAAGAAGGAUUUCGGUUCGUAAAACUCUGUUGUUAGAGAAGAACAGCGCAUAGAGUAACUGUUAUGCGUGUGACGGUAUCUAACCAGAAAGCCACGGCUAACUACGUGCCAGCAGCCGCGGUAAUACGUAGGUCCCGAGCGUUGUCCGGAUUUAUUGGGCGUAAAGCGAGCGCAGGCGGUUAGAAAAGUCUGAAGUGAAAGGCAGUGGCUCAACCAUUGUAGGCUUUGGAAACUGUUUAACUUGAGUGCAGAAGGGGAGAGUGGAAUUCCAUGUGUAGCGGUGAAAUGCGUAGAUAUAUGGAGGAACACCGGUGGCGAAAGCGACUCUCUGGUCUGUAACUGACGCUGAGGCUCGAAAGCGUGGGGAGCGAACAGG
rnacentral:rRNA from 1 species